GACGAACGCUGGCGGCGUGCCUAAUACAUGCAAGUAGAACGCACAGUUUAUACCGUAGCUUGCUACACCAUAGACUGUGAGUUGCGAACGGGUGAGUAACGCGUAGGUAACCUGCCUGGUAGCGGGGGAUAACUAUUGGAAACGAUAGCUAAUACCGCAUAAUAUUAAUUAUUGCAUGAUAAUUGAUUGAAAGAUGCAACUGCAUCACUACCAGAUGGACCUGCGUUGUAUUAGCUAGUAGGUGAGGUAACGGCUCACCUAGGCGACGAUACAUAGCCGACCUGAGAGGGUGAUCGGCCACACUGGGACUGAGACACGGCCCAGACUCCUACGGGAGGCAGCAGUAGGGAAGCUUCGGCAAUGGACGAAAGUCUGACCGAGCAACGCCGCGUGAGUGAAGAAGGUUUUCGGAUCGUAAAGCUCUGUUGUAAGAGAAGAACGGGUGUGAGAGUGGAAAGUUCACACUGUGACGGUAUCUUACCAGAAAGGGACGGCUAACUACGUG
rnacentral:rRNA from 1 species